UGCGUAGGGUGCGAGCGUUAAUCGGAAUUACUGGGCGUAAAGCGUGCGUAGGCGGUUCGUUAAGUCAGCUGUGAAAGCCCCGGGCUCAACCUGGGAACUGCGGUUGAAACUGGCGAACUAGAAUCUGGCAGAGGGGGGUGGAAUUCCACGUGUAGCAGUGAAAUGCGUAGAGAUGUGGAGGAACACCGAUGGCGAAGGCAGCCCCCUGGGCUGAGAUUGACGCUCAGGCACGAAAGCGUGGGGAGCAAACAGG
rnacentral:rRNA from 1 species